rnacentral:rRNA from 1 species
UACGAAGGGUGCAAGCGUUAAUCGGAAUUACUGGGCGUAAAGGGUGCGUAGGCGGUUCGUUAAGUCUGUCGUGAAAGCCCACGGCUCAACCAUGGAAGUGCAUCCGAAACUGCUGAGCUUGAGUACUUAAGAGGAUCGCGGAAUUCCCGGUGUAGAGGUGAAAUUCGUAGAUAUCGGGAGGAACACCAGUGGCGAAGGCGCCACUCUGGGCCGAAACUGACGCUGAGGAGCGAAAGCGUGGGUAGCAAACAGG